GAUGAACGCUAGCGGCAGGCCUAACACAUGCAAGUCGAGGGGCAGCAUUUGUAGCAAUACAAGAUGGCGACCGGCGCACGGGUGAGUAACGCGUAUGCAACCUACCCAUAACAGGGGGAUAGGUUCCGGAAACGGAAAUUAAUACCCUAUGGUAUCCAGAAGACGCAUGUUUUUUGGAUUAAAACUACGGUGGUUAUGGAUGGGCAUGCGUGCCAUUAGCUAGUUGGCGGGGUAACGGCCCACCAAGGCUGCGAUGGCUAGGGGGUCUAAAAGGAUGAUCCCCCACACUGGUACUGAGACACGGACCAGACUCCUACGGGAGGCAG
rnacentral:rRNA from 1 species